rnacentral:rRNA from 1 species
UACGUAGGGUGCAAGCGUUAAUCGGAAUUACUGGGCGUAAAGCGUGCGCAGGCGGUUAUGUAAGACAGGGGUGAAAUCCCCGGGCUUAACCUGGGAACUGCAUUUGUGACUGCAUAGCUGGAGUGCGGCAGAGGGGGAUGGAAUUCCGCGUGUAGCAGUGAAAUGCGUAGAUAUGCGGAGGAACACCGAUGGCGAAGGCAAUCCCCUGGGCCUGCACUGACGCUCAUGCACGAAAGCGUGGGGAGCAAACAGG